rnacentral:ncRNA from 1 species
AGUAACGACGGUUACAUCGGGAGUGACUGAAUAAACUUACUGGCAUAUAGCUGGUUAAGGUGAUGCGACAGAGGUGGUGCUCGCUGUCAGGAAUGGCAGAACUACUGAACCAAGUAGGUCGUAGGCAGAGAAGUUUUUCUAAUCUGUAGAAAUGCCCUUCUCUUGUUGGUAUACAGGAUUCCAACCUCCCUCUUC